AACAUAUUGGGCAUGAUGUACCAUUGAAUACUCUGACUUCAGUUGUGUACAGUUCUAGGGUGUGACAAGCUAGAGAGGUGGAAACUUUCCCAUUCUAACAGCUGGGACUCUAUAGUCUGAAGAGCAGCACUAUGCAAGACACAGAGCAUAAUAACUGCCAUCUAUCCAGUUUUUCUUCACUGCAUGUGCUUAGGCAGUCUUUUUCUUUUGGACUUCACUGGAUCAAAAUUUUGUGGGCAUGACGAACGUGACCCAGCUCAUCAAACCCGCCAUGGAGGAGGAGGAGGACAGCAGCGCGGGUCUGGGGUCGGGCAUGGUUGUUCUUAUCCUGGCAGCCCUGGUGAGUCUCACGCUCAUUUGUGUCGCAAUUGUUCCGUUAGCUUUGCAUUGUUUUUAUGCCCACCACCUUGAAUGCAACAGACAUACCCAUUGCAGUCCAUACUGCGAAUUUGUACGGGAAAUUUGUCUGUACUUCAAAAUCUUCAUUAGAAUUUCACAACACUAACAACCAAAAUCUUCAUCAGAAUUUCACAACACUAA